rnacentral:lncRNA from 1 species
CGCUCCAGCGCCUCCAUUCUCUCUGCUUGCUUCUCCUCCCACCUCCUUCCAUCUCAGCCCACUGGCCUGACUUCUUCUCUUUCCAUUGCUCAUUCUUUCUUUCUUUCUUCGACUAACCCAUUCCUCUCCUACUAUAGGUGACUACUCUCAGGACUUGUCUAUCUCUCGACAUCUUCCAACACACCUCGAUUCCUCCAUCAAAUGGCAUCGCCAUUUCUAGCCAUUCAGAUUCAAUCACUUCGUCAAGUCCAAAAGCUUCAACACUCAUCACCCUACAUGGACACAUCUCUGACCUUACCUAUUCUAUUCGAAUUUCAAACGGACCUAUCCUUAUACCUAUCCUUCUCUCAUAUCCUAUCUUUACUCUGAGCGGCACCGGAUGACACUGGCGACGAACAAACGGCUACGAGGCAUUCGAGAACGACAGACUGGAGGCCGACAGGCCGAGCGAGCGAACGGACGAAACGAAACGAACAGCCACGAGGCAACCGAGACGAAUCGAUCCAUUAAAACCCCAAACGGCGAUGAACGGACGAUCGGAGUGGGAUGUCAACAUCCAGCAACCCCUAUAUCAAGCAGAUAUCUAACCCGGGGGGUGCCUGAUGCGGACAUCCCGCCGCUCCCAGAAUCAUUUAGGAUACACAACCGGGAGUGUUAGGUUUCUCUUAUACGAACAACGAACCGAACGAACGAGGCGGAUCGAUCGAACGG